rnacentral:rRNA from 1 species
UACGUAGGGCGCAAGCGUUAUCCGGAAUUACUGGGCGUAAAGCGCACGUAGGCGGCUUUGUAAGUUAGAGGUGAAAGCCCGGGGCUCAACUCCGGAACUGCCUUUAAGACUGCAUCGCUUGAAUCCAGGAGAGGUGAGUGGAAUUCCGAGUGUAGAGGUGAAAUUCGUAGAUAUUCGGAAGAACACCAGUGGCGAAGGCGGCUCACUGGACUGGUAUUGACGCUGAGGUGCGAAAGCGUGGGGAGCAAACAGG